rnacentral:rRNA from 1 species
AGCCUGAGAAACGGCUACCACAUCCAAGGAAGGCAGCAGGCGCGCAAAUUACCCACUCCCAGUUCAGGGGAGGUAGUGACGAAAAAUAACGAUGCUAAACUCAUACGAGGCUUAGCAAUCGGAAUGAGUACACUUUAAAUCCUUUAACAAGGAUCUAUUGGAGGGCAAGUCUGGUGCCAGCAGCCGCGGUAAUUCCAGCUCCAAUAGCGUAUCACGGUUUUGUUGUGGUUAAAAAGCUCGUAGUUGGAUCUCGGUUUCGGGAGUGUGGUGCGCCUUGCGGCGUUUACUGCACACCCGGACGAUUUUGUCGGUUCGUUCCUGGUGCUCUUAACCGGGUGCCUGGAGUGGCCGGCACGUUUACUUUGAAAAAAUUGGAGUGCUCAAGGCAGGCGCUACAGCCUGAACAUUUGUGCAUGGAAUAAUGGAAUAGGAUCUCGGUUCUAUUUCGUUGGCUUUCGGAGUCGAGGUAAUGAUUAAUAGGGACAGACGGGGGCAUUCGUACUGCGACGUUAGAGGUGAAAUUCUUGGAUCGUCGCAAGACGAACUACUGCGAAAGCAUUUGCCAAGAAUGUUUUCAUUAAUCAAGAACGAAAGUUAGAGGUUCGAAGGCGAUCAGAUACCGCCCUAGUUCUAACCAUAAACGAUGUCAACUGGCGAUCCGGCUCCGUUAACUAAUGACUAGCCGGGCAGUCUCCGGGAAACCAAAGCCGGGUUCCAGGGGAAGUAUGGUUGCAAAGCUGAAACUUAAAGGAAUUGACGGAAGGGCACCACCAGGAGUGGAGCCUGCGGCUUAAUUUGACUCAACACGGGAAAACUCACCAGGCCCGGACACCGGAAGGAUUGACAGAUUGAGAGCUCUUUCUUGAUUCGGUGGGUGGUGGUGCAUGGCCGUUCUUAGUUGGUGGAGUGAUUUGUCUGGUUAAUUCCGAUAACGAACGAGACUCUGGCCUACUAACUAGACGUUGGGUCCCUUGUGGGCCCAUCGCAGCUUCUUAGAGGGACGGGCAGCGUUUAGCUGCACGAGAAUGAGCAAUAACAGGUCUGUGAUGCCCUUAGAUGUUCUGGGCCGCACGCGCGCUACACUGAAGGUAUCAGCAUGUGUUCCCUCUCUGAAAGGAGCGGGAAACCCUCUGAACCACCUUCGUGAUGGGGAUUGGGGAUUGCAAUUAUUCCCCAUGAACGAGGAAUUCCUAGUAGGCGUGAGUCAUCAGCUUGCGUCGAUUACGUCCCUGCCCUUUGUACACACCGCCCGUCGCUACUACCGAUCGAGUGAUUUAGUGAGGCCUUUGGACUGGUCUUCGACAUGGCUUUCGGGUCGUGCCGU